GGAUGAGGCUAUGGUCGAGAUGGAUCACAGGUAUUUGAUGGCAGGAAGAUAUAUGUUGAAAUAGCAAAACCUGGGAAAGGCCGAUUCAGAGGAUAUCCUAAAACAUCAGGACCCCCUAGUACUAAGCCGCAGUUACAACAACCGAACGAUGUGGCAGACUGCUGGUACUAGUCACAUCCAUCUUAAAUGAAAAGAUGUUGGAGCAAAGGAGAAUAUGUUACCGAUAUCCCCAAGUAAGCUUGUUGAUUUAAUUUACCUGGCAUGGCAAAGGUUAGGCCAAACGUUGAAUUCAUUGUUGUUUCUGGGUGGCAGAAGUUGCUGGGUAAAUUGAUAAACAAGAGGGAUUUGUGAAUUCUUAUUUAUAUUGAUUGAUAUAUAACCAGUAGACGUUGUCAUACAGAAACAGUUAUCUUUUGUAACA